rnacentral:rRNA from 1 species
UACGGAGGAUGCGAGCGUUAUCCGGAUUUAUUGGGUUUAAAGGGUGCGCGGGCGGCACGGCAAGCCGGCGGUCAAAUCGCGGGGCUCAACCCCGCCCAGCCGUCGGAACUGCCGGGCUAGAGUGGGCGAGAAGUGCGCGGAAUGCGUGGUGUAGCGGUGAAAUGCACAGAUAUCACGCAGAACUCCGAUUGCGAAGGCAGCGCACCGGCGCCCUACUGACGCUCAGGCACGAAAGCGUGGGUAUCGAACAGG